CACGUAGGCGGACUCUUAAGUCAGGGUGAAAUCCUGGAGCUCAACUCCAGAACUGCCUUUGAUACUGGGAGUCUUGAGUUCGGGAGAGGUGAGUGGAACUGCGAGUGUAGAGGUGAAAUUCGUAGAUAUUCGCAAGAACACCAGUGGCGAAGGCGGCUCACUGGCCCGAUACUGACGCUGAGGUGCGAAAGCGUGGGAGCAAACA
rnacentral:rRNA from 1 species